GAGGAAGCCACGGCUAACUACGUGCCAACGGCCGCGGUAAUACGUAGGUGGCAAGCGUUGUCCGGAUUUACUGGGCGUAAAGGGAGCGUAGGUGGAUUUUUAAUUGGGAUGUGAAAUGCUCGGGCUCAACCUGGGUGCUGCAUUCCAAACUGGAUAUCUGGAGUGCAGGAGAGGAAAGUAGAAUUCCUAGUGUAGCGGUGAAAUGCGUAUAGAUUAGGAAGAAUACCACUGGCGAAGGCGACUUUCUGGACUGUAACUGACACUGAGGCUCCAAAACGUGGGGAGCAAACAGGAUUAGAUACCCUGGUAGUCCACCCCGUAAACAAUGAAUACUAGGUGUAGGGGUUGUCAACACCUCUGUGGCGCCGCUA
rnacentral:rRNA from 1 species